rnacentral:sRNA from 1 species
CGGGCAACUGUUCGGGCGAAACAAGGGAGAUUCCGGCGUGGGUGCCAAGCUCCAAGGCGAUCGCUCAGAUCCAGGCUCAUACGGCAGCCCACGCCAGCUCUCGACACCUA